rnacentral:rRNA from 1 species
AGAGUUUGAUCCUGGCUCAGAAUGAACGCUGGCGGCAGGCCUAACACAUGCAAGUCGAACGAAGGCCCGGAGCUUGCUCCGGAUACCUUAGUGGCGGACGGGCGAGUAACACGUGGGAAUUUGCCCUUCAGUACGGAACAACUCUCGGAAACGGGAGCUAAUACCGAAUACGCCCUACGGGGGAAAGAUUUAUCGCUGAAGGAUGAGCCCGCGCCGGAUUAGCUAGUUGGUGAGGUAAUGGCUCACCAAGGCGACGAUCCGUAGCUGGUUUGAGAGGAUGAUCAGCCACACUGGGACUGAGACACGGCCCAGACUCCUACGGGAGGCAGCAGUGGGGAAUAUUGGACAAUGGGGGCAACCCUGAUCCAGCCAUGCCGCGUGAGUGAUGAAGGCCUUAGGGUUGUAAAGCUCUUUCAGUGGGGAAGAUGAUGACGGUACCCACAGAAGAAGCCCCGGCUAACUCCGUGCCAGCAGCCGCGGUAAUACGGAGGGGGCAAGCGUUAUUCGGAUUUACUGGGCGUAAAGCGCGCGUAGGCGGUCUGUUUAGUCAGGCGUGAAAUCCCUGGGCUCAACCCAGGAACUGCGUUUGAAACUGGCGGACUAGAGUUCGGGAGAGGAGAGUGGAAUUCCCAGUGUAGAGGUGAAAUUC